GGGGUCUUGGUCUAAUGGUUAAGGCAUCCGAGUAGCACUUUUAAGGUCCUGGGUUCGACCCCCGGUGGGAGCG